GGGUUGAUAGCUCAGCGGUAGAGCAGAGGAUUGCAGAUCCUAAGGUCAGGAGUUCGAUCCUCCUUCAACCCU
rfam:Byssochlamys spectabilis No. 5 DNA, contig: PVAR5_00004_1.